ensembl:lncRNA
CAUCACUCUGAUUCCCUCGACAAUACCCAAUACUCACCACUCGUUCUCCAUUGUACAGACAACCGCAGUCAACUGCCGUCACUGCCAUCGUCGACUGCCAUCAUUGUCUGCCAUCAUUGUCCUGCUGAAACAGUCAGGUUGGUUUUGGAGCACAGGAGACUCAAUGAAGAUCAGCCUUGUUUGUCCUCUUUAUUCAAGUUUCCGUGCAUUUGCAGAUAAUUAAAUAAAUAAAUAAAGCAUAAUGUAAUAUAAUAUAAGUUGUCCGUAGUGUAUGAAUGUGUGUGAGAGUGUGUAAGUGAUUGUGCCCUGUGAUGGAUUGGCACCCAUUCAGGGUGUACCCCACCUUGUGCCCCAUGGUCCCUGGGAUAGACUCCAGGUUCUCCGCGACCCUGAAAAGGAUAAGCGGUAUAGAAGAUGG